rnacentral:rRNA from 1 species
AACGAACGCUGGCGGCAGGCUUAACACAUGCAAGUCGAACGGUUGUAGCAAUACAGCAGUGGCAGACGGGUUGAGUAACACGUGGGAACCUUCCUAGGGGUACGGAACAACUCAGGGAAACUUGAGCUAAUACCGUAUACGUCCGUGAGGAGAAAGAUUUAUCGCCCCUAGACGGGCCCGCGUAGGAUUAGGUAGUUGGUGAGGUAACGGCUCACCAAGCCUACGAUCCUUAGCUGAUCUGAGAGGAUGAUCAGCCACACUGGGACUGAGACACGGCCCAGACACCUACGGGUGGCAG